rnacentral:lncRNA from 1 species
GGGCAGCCUGGAGAGAGCUUCAAACAAGACCAGAUCUGUUUUUAUAGAUGUGUUUGCUUACGUUGUAAAAGCCUGAAAAAAAAAUGGCUUUCAUAGCACGACUUGAGGCAAAACCCCUAUGCUAUCAGGAGCGCCUGUCAUCUCUUCCCUGUUUAAUUAAGUCUAGGGCCUCAGGGGAGGUCACAAGAAUGGAAUUCCCAGCAAGUCUCUGUUCUCUGUAACUUGAGCCUGGGGUCCCAGAAAGGUGCCACGCAAAAACAGCUCCUUCUCUGCUAGAGUGGCCCCUAAAGGUGCUCCUGGAUAUCUGGCUGAGGGAAUCAACCAGGAGCUAGAGCCUACUGACAGGACAGCUCAAGGGAACGAAGGAAGAUGGCCACCUCCAGGUGUGCCUGCUACAGCCUCCCUGCCAGCGGCUUUAUCCUUGGUCCUGCCUCUACAGCUAAAAAAAAAAAAAAAAGCAGUUCUAAUGUUUGUUGAGACCUAUAAUAUCACAGACUCCUGUAGGGUCCUGCAGGCCCAUUUCCCACCAGCCACUCCCUGAAAUGAUAAACAUCUGCCCCAAAGACUCCCUGCAGAGAGAUAAGCUGUGUGGCUCUUAGGCUAGGGGCAGGUUCAAAUCAAAGUACAGUCAGAGUAGAAGGCCAUUGGAGGGAAUUCUCCAUUCUUAUUUAUUUCCUGAGAAGUCUUUAGUACAGAAUACC